UACGGAGGAUGCGAGCGUUAUCCGGAUUUAUUGGGUUUAAAAGGGUGCGUAGGCGGGUUGCUAAGUCAGUGGUAAAAGCGUGUGGCUCAACCAUACCAAGCCAUUGAAACUGGUGAUCUUGAGUGUAAACGAGGUAGGCGGAAUGUGACGUGUAGCGGUGAAAUGCUUAGAUAUGUCACAGAACCCCGAUUGCGAAGGCAGCUUACCAGCAUACAACUGACGCUGAGGCACGAAAGCGUGGGUAUCAAACAGG
rnacentral:rRNA from 1 species